AUCUUCUUAUUUUCAGCACGAGGUCGGCCUCAGUCUUUAAGUUUGGAUUCUUCUUUCUCAAGCUUCCUGCCCGUGAAGCAGAAGAAGGACUUUGAGAGUGACAAGGAGCUGGGCCAGGUGACUACGGCUAAAGAGUGCCCUCUGGUGCCUGAACAAGCAGACUCAUUGAGCCCCCAGCCAGAUCACUCAAUCACCUUGGAGACUUGUAGGCAGGCCAUUACUGACCUUAACAACAGUCUGCGGAGAACUGUCAUGCUGUACACUACGGUUAGUGAGCGUGUGAGUGUAUGUGUUUGUAAAAAUGUGCAAAAGUGUUGGGUCAUAAGAAAGGAAAGGCACACAGAGAGGGAGU
rnacentral:lncRNA from 1 species